rnacentral:rRNA from 1 species
AUUGAACGCUGGCGGCAGGCCUAACACAUGCAAGUCGAGCGGAUGAAGGGAGCUUGCUCCUGGAUUCAGCGGCGGACGGGUGAGUAAUGCCUAGGAAUCUGCCUUGUAGUGGGGGAUAACGUCCGUAAACGGGCGCUAAUACCGCAUACGUCCUGAGGGAGAAAGUGGGGGAUCUUCGGACCUCACGCUCUCAGAUGAGCCUAGGCCGGAUUAGCUAGUUGGUGGGGUAAGGGCCUACCAAGGCGACGAUCCGAAACUGGUCUGAGAGGAUGAUCAGUCACACUGGAACUGAGACACGGUCCAGACUCCUACGGGAGGCAGCAGUGGGGAAUAUUGGACAAUGGGCGAAAGCCUGAUCCAGCCAUGCCGCGUGUGUGAAGAAGGUCUUCGGAUUGUAAAGCACUUUAAGUUGGGAGGAAGGGCAGUAAGUUAAUACCUUGCUGUUUUGACGUUACCAACAGAAUAAGCACCGGCUAACUUCGUG